GAUGAACGCUGGCGGCGUGCCUAAUACAUGCAAGUCGAGCGAACAGACGAGGAGCUUGCUCCUCUGACGUUAGCGGCGGACGGGUGAGUACCACGUGGAUAACCUACCUAUAAGACUGGGAUAACUUCGGGAAACCGGAGCUAAUACCGGAUAAUAUAUUGAACCGCAUGGUUCCAUAGUGAAAGACGGUUUUGCUGUCACUUAUAGAUGGUUCCGCGCCGCAUUAGCUAGUUGGUAAGGUAACGGCUUACCAAGGCAACGAUGCGUAGCCGACCUGAGAGGGUGAUCGGCCACACUGGAACUGAGACACGGUCCAGACUCCUACGGGAGGCAGCAGUAGGGAAUCUUCCGCAAUGGGCGAAAGCCUGACGGAGCAACGCCGCGUGAGUGAUGAAGGUCUUCGGAUCGUAAAACUCUGUUAGUAGGGAAGAACAAAUGUGUAAGUAACUAUGCACGUCUUGACGGUACCUAAUCAGAAAGCCACGGCUAACUACGUG
rnacentral:rRNA from 1 species